AUACUUAGCUGGCAGGGAAGAUUUCACAAUAAUUAAGGUGGUUUUCCUAGGACAAGGCUUAUCCAUUGCCCUGUGGAUGUGCAAAGUCCCUCAGUAUCCCCAGAUGUGGGAAUCUCAACUGCAGAAUUUGUAUUAGUGGGGAACUGUGUUCACACUCUCCUCU
rnacentral:snRNA from 1 species